UACAGAGGGGGCGAGCGUUGUUCGGAAUUACUGGGCGUAAAGGGCGCGUAGGCGGCCUUCUAAGUCGAACGUGAAAUCCCCGGGCUCAACCCGGGAACUGCGUCCGAUACUGGGAGGCUUGAAUCCGGGAGAGGGAUGUGGAAUUCCAGGUGUAGCGGUGAAAUGCGUAGAUAUCAGGAGGAACACCGGUGGCGAAGGCGGGUCUCUGGGCAGUAACUGACGCUGAGGAGCGAAAGCGUGGGGAGCAAACAGG
rnacentral:rRNA from 1 species